AUGUUCUUAGUUCGGUCAGCAUAUUUUGUGGAAUGGGAACAUCAACACGGUAAAAAAAUACGACAUGGGAAUGGUCUAGGAAGAACAAAUGCCAAUCCUAUUUGGCAGAAGAUUUGGAAGCUCUCUUGUCUGGCUAAGGUGAAAAUCUUCAUUUGGCAUACACUGCAUGGGACACUUCCGUGUCUUGUUAUGCUUGCCAAUAGACAUAUCAAGGUAUCGCCUCAAUGUCAUGUUUGCUCUUCUAAUCCAGAAGAUACAAAACAUGUGUUAUUUCUCUGCCACAAAGCAAGAGAGGUUUGAAGAAGGGUGGGUUUGAACGAAAUCAUUGUGAGAGCCUGUGAAAUUGAUCGAGCGGGUGAGCCGGUUCUGGAGUUCUUACUUCUUAUGCCAGAAUAGGAUUUGACCUCAGUGGCGACUAGGAAUGUUCGAGAGAUGAUUGCCAUUACUACCUGGUACCUCUGGUGGGAAAGACAUAAAUUGGUCCAUGAGGAAUCAACCCAGGGCAUCUCUCACAUAUCAAUGGGGAUCCGUGCAAUUACAACAAAUUUUGUUACUGCUUGCUCUCCAAAAGCGACCAUAAAAAAGGGGGGUUGGACCCGACCUCCUGUGGGUUUUGUAAAACUUAAUGUUGAUACUUCGUUUGAUCAUGAUGAGCUCAAGGGCACUGUCGGGGCGGUACUCAGGGAUGACAGAGGCAAAUUCAUUGCAAGGGGGAAUGGAAAAAUAGACUGGUGCGCAGAUGUCCUCGCAGCUGAACCUUUGGCACUCCGAUACGGGUUAUCCCUGGCCCAGAGAAUAGGGUGCAACCGUCUAGUUAUCAAUUCUGACAAUCUGGAGGUCAUCAAGACAAUGAAUAAUGAAGGAGGUCAUGCAAGCGCAGCGGCGGCAAUUUUCGAUGAGUGUUAUCAUCUCGCAUGUGAUUUUUCUAUUUCUAGGUUUGAACAUUGUAAUAGAGAAUCAAAUAAGGUAGCUCACGAACUAGCUAGCUUAGCAAGAUUUUCUGUGACUUAUGAGUGA
rnacentral:rRNA from 1 species